rnacentral:rRNA from 1 species
GAUGAACGCUGGCGGCGUGCCUAAUACAUGCAAGUCGAGCGAACGGACGAGAAGCUUGCUUCUCUGAUGUUAGCGGCGGACGGGUGAGUAACACGUGGAUAACCUACCUAUAAGACUGGGAUAACUUCGGGAAACCGGAGCUAAUACCUGAUGAUAUUUUGAACCGCAUGGUUCAAAAGUGAAAGACGGUCUUGCUGUCACUUAUAGAUGGAUCCGCGCUGCAUUAGCUAGUUGGUAAGGUAACGGCUUACCAAGGCAACGAUGCAUAGCCGACCUGAGAGGGUGAUCGGCCACACUGGAACUGAGACACGGUCCAGACUCCUACGGGAGGCAGCAGUAGGGAAUCUUCCGCAAUGGGCGAAAGCCUGACGGAGCAACGCCGCGUGAGUGAUGAAGGUCUUCGGAUCGUAAAACUCUGUUAUUAGGGAAGAACAUAUGUGUAAGUAACUGUGCACAUCUUGACGGUACCUAAUCAGAAAGCCACGGCUAACUACGUG